CCAUCAUUUGUGGACCAGAUGUUAGAAGCUGACAAUGGAAUUGGUGAAGUGAUGAAACCACCUGAGAAAUCAUUCUGGGCUAAAUAUUGGAUGUACAUCAUUCCUCUUGGUCUCAUUGUCAUGAAUGUUGUUACGGCAGCAGCAAACGUACCAGAGGAGCAAGCUGCAGGCCAGGGCCAACCUGGAGCACAACGAGCACCCGCUGCUGCUGCAAGGAGAAGAUGAUUAUUGUUUCUAUGUGUUUUCGGUGUCAGAUCAAUGGAGAAUCAACAGGAGACAGCUCAUACAAUAGCAUGGUGACCGGAUCCCAUUCUGUACUGAGAAGUUCCCCAUUAACAUAGUGGCCUUUGAAGCUGCAGUUGAACACUCAUUUGUUGGUAGCAAUUUUAACCAGUGCAACCUGUAUUUGCUGAUGUAAAGUGACUUUAUUUGUCCAUUUUGAAUCCUAUGUGUUGUUUAUAGAUCAUCCUUAUUUUGUACCGAUCGAAGUGGUCACUUGAUUAGCCAAUAUUCUCGUGUUUCUCGAGUGCCACAUGGACAUUGCUGUAUGAAGCUGCGCAAACUGUGGCAAGAUGUUUUGUAGCUACCAAAUAUAUGUACACGUAUUAGGCAUGACAUUCUGAGAGUUUGCAAUUUCAUAUGGAUCAAGGAAAAAGGCUCUUCAAAAUA